rnacentral:rRNA from 1 species
CAUCAACGCUGGCGGCGUGCCUCAGACAUGCAAGUCGAACGAUUAAGACAUCCUUCGGGAAGUGUAUAAAGUGGCGCACGGGUGAGUAACACGUAGGUAAUGUGCCUUUGGGUGGGGAAUAACUUAGGGAAACUUAAGCUAAUACCGCAUAAUGCAGCGGCUCGACAUCGAGACAGUUGUUAAAGGAGUAAUCCGCCUAAAGAGCAGCCUGCGGCAGAUUAGCUAGUUGGUAAGGUAAUGGCUUACCAAGGCUACGAUCUGUAACCGACCUGAGAGGGUGGUCGGUCACACUGACACUGAAUAACGGGUCAGACUCCUACGGGAGGCAGCAGUCGGGAAUUUUGGGCAAUGGGCGAAAGCCUGACCCAGCAACGCCGCGUGAAGGAUGAAGUAUUUCGGUAUGUAAACUUCGUAAGAAUAGGAAGAAUAAAUGACGGUACUAUUUGUAAGGUCCGGCUAACUACGUGCCAGCCGCCGCGGUAAAAC